GUGGCCCUUUGCAUAGGUAUUCUGUCAAGGUGUGAGGAAAGUUAAACGCAUGCCUGUGCUUAGGGCCUCUGCCAAGGUGAAGGGUGUUCUGGUCUCUGUGUCCUCUUCAGAAGCAAGAUGGCAGGCUUCUGUGGACUGCGAUGGUGAAGAC